rnacentral:snRNA from 16 species
AUACUUACCUGCCUGGGGCAACCGAGAACAUGAAGUCGGGAGCCUACCCGGAGAUCCUGCAUUGCACUUUGCGGUCGGUUGAGGGGUAUGUAGUGGCUUCGAGCGAGCUGCUACUCCUCUGGGCCAAUUUUUGUUUGCCUCUAUACGGAUCACAAUCUUUUC